rnacentral:lncRNA from 1 species
UGCAUUUAAGAGUUCAAUGAACCUUGAUUCCUUGUCAGAUUAGCAAACUCCUCACCAUCGGGCUGUAAAAUUUCUCAGGCUUUUGUCUCAGAGUCUCCAGGUUGAGAGAGGCCAGAGAAACUUCAGCCAGACCCAGUCUCAGUCAAUUACCUUCUUAAUUCUAAGACUAUGGAUGGAGGCUAGAGGAGCCUGUCUUCCAGCUUAGCUGAACACUCAGCCACAGCUCCUGAGAGGCAACUGGGGAGAGUGCAGUGACGACAGGAUCCAUCUUGGUAGGAUGCUUCUGGUCAGCAAACAUGGAUGAUAUGGCAGAGAGGCCAGCCAAGGGAACUGGGUCAACUGCCACUGCAGUUUGUCCCUUUGCACCACACCAUCUUAACACCAGCCUCAGCAGGGACGUCACUCACUCGGCCAGAUGUGAUGAUUUCAUUUCAGCUGCAAGGACAGAUGUCCCCUUCCCAUGCUCUUCUUUAGCAAACAUGGCACGGGUCACCAAGGCUGCAGAAGUGGAUGCUCACAGUCAGCUAUUGGAUGGAUCACAGGGCUCCCAAUGGAGGAGCUAGAGAAAGUACCCAAGGAGCUAAAGGGAUCUGCAACCCUAUAGGUGGAACAACAUUAUGAACUAACCAGUACCCCGGAGCUCUUGACUCUAGCUGCAUAUGUAUCAAAAGAUGGCCU